GACGAACGCUGGCGGCGUGCCUAAUACAUGCAAGUAGAACGCUGAAGCGAGGAGCUUACUCUUCUUGGAUGAGUUGCGAACGGGUGAGUAACGCGUAGGUAACCUGCCUUGUAGCGGGGGAUAACUAUUGGAAACGAUAGCUAAUACCGCAUAACAAUGGAUGACACAUGUCAUUUAUUUGAAAGGGGCAAUUGCUCCACUACAAGAUGGACCUGCGUUGUAUUAGCUAGUAGGUGAGGUAAUGGCUCACCUAGGCGACGAUACAUAGCCGACCUGAGAGGGUGGUCGGCCACACUGGGAGUGAGACCGGGCCCAGACGCCUACGGGAGGCAGCAGUAGGGAAUCUUCGGCAAUGGGGGCAAACCUGACCGAGCAACGCCGCGGGAGGGAAGAAGGUUUUCGGAUCGGAAAGCUCGGUUGUAAGUCAAGAACGGGUGUGAGAGUGGAAAGUUCACACUGUGACGGUAGCUUACCAGAAAGGGACGGCUAACUACGUG
rnacentral:rRNA from 1 species